rnacentral:tRNA from 1 species
GUUUUAAUAGUUUAAUAAAAACAUUGGUCUUGUAAACCAAAAUUAAGAUACCCCCCCUUUUAAAACU